AUUCCAGCUCCAAUAGCGUAUAUUAAAGUUGUUGCGGUUAAAAAGCUCGUAGUUGGAUUUCUGUUGAGGACGGUCGGUCCAUCUUUUGGAUGUGCAUCUGAUACGGCCUCGGCAUCCUCUUGGGGAACGUCGUUGUGCUUCAUUGCGUGACACGGUAUUCAAGACUUUUACUUUGAGGAAAUUAGAGUGUUCACGGCAGGCAAUCGCCAUGAAUAUAUUAGCAUGGAAUAAUAAUAUAGGACCUUGGUUCUAUUUUGUUGGUUUCUAGAGCUAAGGUAAUGAUUAAUAGGGAUAAUUGGGGCCAUUUGUAUUAUCGCGUCAGAGGUGGAAUUCUUGGAUUGCGAUACGACAAACUACUGCGAAAGCAUUUGGCAAGGAUGUUUUCAUUA
rnacentral:rRNA from 1 species